rnacentral:rRNA from 1 species
UACGGGGGGGGCAAGCGUUGUUCGGAAUUACUGGGCGUAAAGGGCUUGUAGGUGGCCAACUAAGUCAGACGUGAAAUCCCUCGGCUUAACCGGGGAACUGCGUCUGAUACUGGAUGGCUGGAGUGUGGGAGAGGGAUGCGGAAUUCCAGGUGUAGCGGUGAAAUGCGUAGAUAUCAGGAGGAACACCAGUGGCGAAGGCGGUUCUCUGGGCAUUACCUGACGCUGAGGAGCGAAAGUGUGGGGAGCGAACAGG